AGCACCGGCUAACUCCGUGCCAGCAGCCGCGGUAAUACGGAGGGUGCGAGCGUUAAUCGGAAUUACUGGGCGUAAAGCGCAUGCAGGUGGUUUGUUAAGUCAGAUGUGAAAGCCCGGGGCUCAACCUCGGAAUUGCAUUUGAAACUGGCAGACUAGAGUACUGUAGAGGGGGGUAGAAUUUCAGGUGUAGCGGUGAAAUGCGUAGAGAUCUGAAGGAAUACCGGUGGCGAAGGCGGCCCCCUGGACAGAUACUGACACUCAGAUGCGAAAGCGUGGGGAGCAAACAGGAUUAGAUACCCUGGUAGUCCACGCCGUAAACGAUGUCUACUUGGAGGUUGUGGCCUUGAGCCGUGGCUUUCGGAGCUAACGCGUUAAGUAGACCGCCUGGGGAGUACGGUCGCAAGAUUAAAACUCAAAUGAAUUGACGGGGGCCCGCACAAGCGGUGGAGCAUGUGGUUUAAUUCGAUGCAACGCGAAGAACCUUACCUACUCUUGACAUCCAGAGAACUUUCCAGAGAUGGAUUGGUGCCUUCGGGAACUCUGAGACAGGUGCUGCAUGGCUGUCGUCAGCUCGUGUUGUGAAAUGUUGGGUUAAGUCCCGCAACGAGCGCAACCCUUAUCCUUGUUUGCCAGCGAGUAAUGUCGGGAACUCCAGGGAGACUGCCGGUGAUAAACCGGAGGAAGGUGGGGACGACGUCAAGUCAUCAUGGCCCUUACGAGUAGGGCUACACACGUGCUACAAUGGCGCAUACAGAGGGCAGCCAACUUGCGAAAGUGAGCGAAUCCCAAAAAGUGCGUCGUAGUCCGGAUUGGAGUCUGCAACUCGACUCCAUGAAGUCGGAAUCGCUAGUAAUCGUGGAUCAGAAUGCCACGGUGAAUACGUUCCCGGGCCUUGUACACACCGCCCGUCACACCAUGGGAGUGGGCUGCAAAAGAAGUAGGUAGUUUAACCUUCGGGGGGACGCUUACCACUUUGUGGUUCAUGACUGGGGUGAAGUCGUAACAAGGUAGCGCUAGGGGAACC
rnacentral:rRNA from 1 species